rnacentral:tRNA from 2 species
GAACUAUAGUAAUUAUGUUUUGAAAACAUAUUUAGAGAUUUUAUAUUUCGUAGUUUU